rnacentral:rRNA from 1 species
CAGUUGGCUGACGCAGACCCGAAACCAAGUGACCUACCCAUGACCAGGUUGAAGGCGCGGUAAAACGCGCUGGAGGACCGAACCCACGUAAGUUGAAAAUUGCGGGGAUGAGUUGUGGGUAGCGGUGAAAUUCCAAACGAACUUGGAGAUAGCUGGUUCUCUCCGAAAUAGCUUUAGGGCUAGCCUCGCAAAGAGGAUGCUGGAGGUAGAGCUCUGUUUGGACUAGGGGCCCGUCAAGGGUUACUGAAUUCAGAUAAACUGCGAAUUCCAGACAUUUAUGUGCGGGAGUCAGACUGCGAGUGAUAAGAUCCGUAGUCGAAAGGGAAACAGCCCAGAUCACCAGUUAAGGUCCCAAAAUUCAUGCUAAGUGGAAAAGGAUGUGGAGUUGCGCAGACAACUAGGACGUUGGCUCAGAAGCAGCCAUCAUUCAAAGAGUGCGUAAUAGCUCACUAGUCGAGUGACGCCGCGCCGAAAAUUUACCGGGGCUAAGCAUGAUACCGAAACUGUGGAUGUGCAUUUAUGCACGUGGUAGGAGAGCGUUCUAGCGGCGGUGAAGCAUGACCGAGAGGACAUGUGGAGCUUCUAGAAGUGAGAAUGCCGGUAUGAGUAACGAAAGACAGGUGAGAAUCCUGUCCGCCGCAAGACUAAGGUUUCCUGGGGCAGGCUCGUCCGCCCAGGGUAAGUCGGGACCUAAGGCGAGGCCGAGAGGCGUAGUCGAUGGACAACAGGUUGAAAUUCCUGUACUGCACCGAAUCGUUAUGAGCGAUGGAGGGACGCAGGAGGCUAGCAGCGCGUGGUGCUGGAUACCACGUUCAAGCGUCAAGUCUGAGAGUGAGUCAAAUGCUUGCUCUCAUAAGGACAAGGCGUGAUGAGGAGCGAAAUUAAAGUAGCGAAGGCUGCGACGUCACACUGCCGAGAAAAGCUUCUAGCCAGAGACGGUGCACCCGUACCGCAAACCGACACAGGUAGUCGAGGAGAGUAUCCUCAGGUGAGCGAGAGAACUCUCGUUAAGGAACUCGGCAAAAUGGCCCCGUAACUUCGGGAGAAGGGGCGCUGGUCGCAAGAUCAGCCGCAGUGAAAAGGCCCAAGCAACUGUUUAUCAAAAACACAGGCAUCUGCAAAAUCGUAAGAUGAAGUAUAGGUGCUGACACCUGCCCGGUGCUGGAAGGUUAAGAGGAGAGCUUAGCGCAAGCGAAGGUUUGAAUUGAAGCCCCAGUAAACGGCGGCCGUAACUAUAACGGUCCUAAGGUAGCGAAAUUCCUUGUCGGGUAAGUUCCGACCUGCACGAAAGGUGUAAUGAUUUGGGCACUGUCUCAACGAGAGACUCGGUGAAAUUAUAAUACCCGUGAAGAUGCGGGUUACCCGCGACAGGACGGAAAGACCCCAUGGAGCUUUACUGCAGUUUAAUAUUGGGUAUCUGUCAAGCAUGUACAGGAUAGGUAGGAGCCGGAGAAGAUAGGACGCCAGUCUUAUCUGAGGCGCUGUUGGGAUACUACCCUUGCUUGACGGAUGCUCUAACUCAGGCCUGUGAUCCAGGCCGAGGACAGUGUUUGACGGGCAGUUUGACUGGGGCGGUCGCCUCCUAAAGUGUAACGGAGGCGCCCAAAGGUUCCCUCAGAAUGGUUGGAAAUCAUUCGCAGAGUGUAAAGGUAAAAGGGAGCUUGACUGCGAGAGAGACAACUCGAGCAGGUACGAAAGUAGGGCUUAGUGAUCUGGUGGUACCGUAUGGAAGGGCCAUCACUCAACGGAUAAAAGCUACCCUGGGGAUAACAGGCUUAUCUCCCCCAAGAGUUCACAUCGACGGGGAGGUUUGGCACCUCGAUGUCGGCUCGUCGCAUCCUGGGGCUGAAGUCGGUCCCAAGGGUUGGGCUGUUCGCCCAUUAAAGCGGCACGCGAGCUGGGUUCAGAACGUCGUGAGACAGUUCGGUCCCUAUCCGUCGUGGGCGUAGGAAAUUUGAGAGGAGCUGUCCUUAGUACGAGAGGACCGGGAUGGACGCACCGCUGGUGUACCAGUUGUCUUGCCAAAGGCAUCGCUGGGUAGCUAUGUGCGGACGGGAUAAGCGCUGAAAGCAUCUAAGUGCGAAGCCCCCCUCAAGAUGAGAUUUCCCAUUUCUUCAAGAAAGUAAGACACCUCAGAGACGAUGAGGUAGAUAGGCCGGGAGUGGAAGAGCCGUGAGGCUUGGAGCGGACCGGUACUAAUCAGUCGAGGACUUGACCAAAA